AUGAAGAGACCCUAUCUUUGUGCAUUACCCAUUCCUUUGCCCCUUUGGCUUUCCUUUGUGCUUGAAAGGUUUCAGUGUUAUUCUUCAAGACACAGGUCAGAAAGGGGAAUGGGGUCCAGAAUGCACACUUCCUGUCUACACAGAUCCAAGGUGAUGGAAAGGUCCCAGUGCCAUACAAUCACCCUCAGCCACGCAAAGUCUUCCAAGAGGCAAUGUCCCAAAGCUCAGGCUGCAAAUGGCAAAUGCACACAGACACACACACACACACACACACACUCUUCAAUGCAGAACUCUGCACUUGUAUCCCAGAAAAGGUUUGUUAUUUCAAUUACACCCAUUGAGAUGUGUGCCACAUGUCAGAGAAGAAAGGAAAACACCAAAAUGAGGCUGAAUUGCUUUAGCUAUCUCCUUAGGGAUUGAUCUAUAUCAAAUCAACCACCAUCUAGGCAUGGGGAGAAGCUUUUACUUAUGAAAAACAGAGGCAGGUGCAGGAGAGCAGCAUUUGGGACCAAAUCAAAGCCGUGAGAGCAGAAGGAAGUGAAUUUAGAUGCAUCCACUUAGCUGCUCUGCCCGUAUGUAAAUCACAGGCUGGGGGGCAGAUCAGAGCCCAGGCUGGAUCCGCCUCUUCUUCCUCAUCUCCCCUGAGGUCUCUCCCUGCUUUGCUCACUGCUUCAGCUGCCCAGUAAGAACAGAUGGACGGAAGUUAAAAGAGCAAGUUUGGCUCAUCAGCUAAGUGGAAUUCCACACCCUGCCCCACCUCUCCCAUCCCUGUCUGGGGCAUAAAGAUGGAGAAUGAAGGGCAGGGGUGCUGCUGCAUUGGAUUCUGCAGGAAGCGCUGGUAUUUUCUUUUACAUCCCCUGAAUAGCUGGCCAGUCUGCUUUACACAUUGAUAAUAUGGGAUGCCUUCUAUUCCAGCAAAUAUUUAAUCCCUGACUGAUCAAUAAUCCCUGCCUGGCUGUUCUUUUUUUUUUUUUUUUUUUUUUUGAAAAGAAACAAAUCCCCUUUUACUCUUAAAAUUCUUGAAUAAAAUUAAACUGCUCUAGCCCA
rnacentral:lncRNA from 1 species